rnacentral:rRNA from 1 species
CCUACGGGUGGCAGCAGUGAGGAAUAUUGGUCAAUGGACGAGAGUCUGAACCAGCCAAGUAGCGUGAAGGAUGACUGCCCUAUGGGUUGUAAACUUCUUUUGUACAAGGGUAAACCUGAAUACGGGUAUUCAGCUGAAAGUAAUGUACGAAUAAGGAUCGGCUAACUCCGUGCCAGCAGCCGCGGUAAUACGGAGGAGCCAAGCGUUAUCCGGAUUUAGUGGGUUUAAAGGGUGCGUAGGCGGAUUGAUAAGUUAGAGGUGAAAUGUCCGAGCUUAACUCGGGAACUGCCUCUAAUACUGUUGAUCUAGAGAUUAGAUGCGGUAGGCGGAAUGUAUGGUGUAGCGGUGAAAUGCUUAGAGAUCAUACAGAACACCGAUUGCGAAGGCAGCUUACCAAUCUAUAUCUGACGUUGAGGCACGAAAGCGUGGGGAGCAAACAGGAUUAGAUACCCUAGUAGUC